GACGUAGGGCGCGAGCGUUGUCCGGAUUUAUUGGGCGUAAAGAGCUCGUAGGCGGUUUGUCGCGUCGUUCGUGAAAACUCACAGCUUAACUGUGAGCUUGCGGUCGAUACGGGCAGGCUAGAGUUCGGUAGGGGAGACUGGAAUUCCUGGUGUAGCGGUGAAAUGCGCAGAUAUCAGGAGGAACACCGGUGGCGAAGGCGGCUACCUGGACCGAUACUGACGCUGAGACACGAAAGCGUGGGGAGCAAACAGG
rnacentral:rRNA from 1 species